rnacentral:misc_RNA from 1 species
GAUGAAGAACGUAGCGAAAUGCGAUAAGUAAUGUGAAUUGCAGAAUUCAGUGAAUCAUCGAAUCUUUGAACGCACAUUGCGCCCCCUGGUAUUCCGGGGGGCAUGCCUGUCCGAGCGUCAUUACAACCCUCAAGCUCAGCUUGGUGUUGGGCCCCGCCGCCCCGGCGGGCCCUAAAGUCAGUGGCGGUGCCGUCCGGCUCCGAGCGUAGUAAUUCUUCUCGCUCUGGAGGUCCGGUCGUGUGCUCGCCAGCAACCCCCAAUUGUUUUCAGGUUGACCUCGGAUCAGGUAGGGAUACCCGCUGAACUUAAGCAUAUCAAUAAGCGGAGGA